AUGGCCGUUCCUUACGCUGCCCGUGGAGCUGUCCACAUCCGACCACGUCAUUGCCAUCCGCUGCAUGACCUCCUUGCCUCCUUCACAGGCUACCCACUCAACCAGGUGCUCGGAUGUAACACGCGGGUCUUCCAGGGAGCCGCUGCCAAGCGCGCCGCUGUUGCCGAGGUGCACGAUACUUAUAAUUUGAGUGUUGUUGGCACAGCCUGA
rnacentral:rRNA from 1 species